rnacentral:rRNA from 1 species
AGUGAACGCUGGCGGCAGGCCUAACACAUGCAGGUCGAGCGGCAGCGCGGGGGCAACCCUGGCGGCGAGCGGCGGACGGGUGAGGAAUUCGUCGGAAUCUGCCUUUUUGUGGGGGAUAACGUAGGGAAACUUACGCUAAUACCGCAUACGUCCUACGGGAGAAAGUGGGGGACCGCAAGGCCUCACGCAGAAAGAUGAGCCGACGACCGAUUAGCUAGUUGGUGGGGUAAAGGCCCACCAAGCCGGCGAUCGGUAGCUGGUCUGAGAGGAUGAUCAGCCACACUGGGACUGGGACACGGCCCAGACUCCUACGGGAGGCAGCAGUGGGGAAUAUUGGGCAAUGGGCGCAAGCCUGAUCCAGCCAUGCCGCGUGUGUGAAGAAGGCCUUCGGGUUGUAAAGCACUUUUGUCCGGAAAGAAAUCCCUGGAGCUAAUACCUUCGGGGGAUGACGGUACCGGAAGAAUAAGCACCGGCUAACUUCGUG